UACGUAGGGUGCAGGCGUUAAUCGGAAUUACUGGGCGUAAAGCGUGCGCAGGCGGUCUAUUAAGACAGGUGUGAAAUCCCCGGGCUUAACCUGGGAACUGCGCUUGUAACUGAUAGGCUUGAGUGUGGCAGAGGGGGGUGGAAUUCCAGGUGUGGCAGUGAAAUGCGUAGAUAUCUGGAGGAACACCGAUGGCGAAGGCAGCCCCCUGGGCUAACACUGACGCUCAUGCACGAAAGCGUGGGGAGCAAACAGG
rnacentral:rRNA from 1 species